rnacentral:rRNA from 1 species
GACGAACGCUGGCGGCGUGCUUAACACAUGCAAGUCGAACGGAAAGGCCCUGCUUUUGUGGGGUGCUCGAGUGGCGAACGGGUGAGUAACACGUGAGUAACCUGCCCUUGACUUUGGGAUAACUUCAGGAAACUGGGGCUAAUACCGGAUAGGAGCUCCUGCUGCAUGGUGGGGGUUGGAAAGUUUCGGCGGUUGGGGAUGGACUCGCGGCUUAUCAGCUUGUUGGUGGGGUAGUGGCUUACCAAGGCUUUGACGGGUAGCCGGCCUGGGAGGGGGACCGGCAACAUUGGGACGGGGAUACGGCCCAGACUCCUACGGGAGGCAGCAGUGGGGAAUAUUGCAAAAUGGGGGGAAGCCGGUUGCAGCAACGUCGGGGGCGGGAUGCCGCCCUUCGGGUUGUAAACCGCUUUCGCCUGUGACGAAGCGUGAGUGACGGUAAUGGGUAAAGAAGCACCGGCUAACUACGUG